AGAAUCAACGCUGGCGGCGUGCCUAACACAUGCAAGUCGAACGCGAAAGUCCCGCAAGGGAUUAGUAGAGUGGCAAACGGGUGAGUAACACGUGGGUGACCUGCCUUCGAGCGGGGGAUAACGUCCCGAAAGGGACGCUAAUACCGCAUAACAUCCUGCCUUUUAAGAGGUGGUGAUCAAAGCCGGGGAUUCGCAAGAACCUGGCACUUGAAGAGGGGCCCGCGCCUGAUUAGCUAGUUGGUGGGGUAAUGGCCUACCAAGGCAACGAUCAGUA
rnacentral:rRNA from 1 species